rnacentral:rRNA from 1 species
UUAAGUUAAUAAGGGCGUACAGUGGAUGCCUUGGAAUUUGGAGACGAUGAAAGACGCGACUACCUGCGAAAAGCAAGGGGGAGCUGGUGUAAGCUAUGAUCCCUUGAUCUCUGAAUGGGGAAACCCGGUGCAAAUACUUGCAUCAUCUUGGAGCCUUGAGCUCCAAUGAGGACACACCUAGGGAAUUGAAACAUCUUAGUACCUAGAGGAAAAGAAAGAUUAUAUCGAUUCGGUGAGUAGCGGCGAGCGAAAUCCGAUCAGCCUAAACCUAGUUUACUAGGGGUUCGGACCACGACAUGAUAGAGUUAUAUGACAGCAGAAUGGUUUGGGAAAGCCAAGCAUAGAGGGUGAGACUCCCGUAUGCAAACUUGUAUAACCAUCUAGUGAGUUCCAGAGUACGGCGGGACACGUGGAAUCCUGUCGGAAUGUGCGGAGACCACUCCGUAAGGCUAAAUACUACCAAAUUACCGAUAGUGAACCAGUACUGUGAAGGAAAGGUGAAAAGAACCCCGGGAGGGGAGUGAAAAGAAUCUGAAACUGUAUGCUUACAAAAAGUCAAAGCCCGUUAAUGGGUGAUGGCGUGCCUAUUGAAGAAUGAACCGGCGAGUUAUCUUAUCGUGCAAGAUUAAGUCGAAGAGACGAAGUCGCAGCGAAAGCGAGUCUGAAUAGGGCUUUAGUACGAUGAGAUAGACCCGAAACCCGACGAUCUAUCCAUGAGCAAGUUGAAGGUGAGGUAAAACUCACUGGAGGACUGAACCGACGUUCGUUGAAACGCCCGCGGAUGACUUGUGGAUAGGGGAGAAAUUCCAAUCGAGUUGGGAGAUAGCUGGUUCUCCCCGAAAUAGCUUUAGGGCUAGCGUCAGAGAGUAAAUAGUGGCGGUAAAGCACUGAAUAGACGCGGGUCGCACCUAGCGAUACCAAUUCUAAUCAAACUCUAAAUUCCAUUAUUGUAAUCCUGGCAGUCAGAGUGUGGGGGAUAAGCUUCAUGCUCAAAAGGGAAACAGCCCAGAUCGUCAAUUAAGGUCCCUAAAUUUAUGCUAAGUGUUAAAGGAAGUGAAAACGCAUAGACAACUAGGAUGUUGGCCUAGAAGCCGUCAUCAUUUAAAGAGUGCGUAACAGCUCACUAGUCGAGUGUCUUCGCGCCGAAGAUUUACCGGGGCUAAGCAUAAUACCGAAAUUACGAAUUUAUAGUUUCUAUAAGUGGUAGGGGAGCGUUCUAUACGGGGUGAAGUCAUACUGAAAAGAGUGAUGGACUGUAUAGAAGUGAGAAUGCCGGUGUAAGUAACGAUUGUAUGUGAGAAUCAUACACACCAUUAGACUAAGGUUUCCAGGGGAAGGGUCGUCCUCCCUGGGUUAGUCAGGACCUAAGACGAGGCCGACAGGCGUAGUCGAUGGACAGCUGGUUGAUAUUCCAGCACUGAUAUAUAUGCGAUGUAAUGACAGAAGUGGCUAAUCGUACCAAUUAUUGGAUUUUGGACUAAGCGGAACACAUGGCUGGGUAGCAAAUCUCUCAGCGUAAUUGAAGCCGUGAUGGGGAGUGAACGAGCUUGCUCAAGUAGCGAAGUCGAUGAUGCCAAUUCUCGAGAAAAGUUGCUAGCUUAAGUAUAUGUCACCUGUACCGAGAACGGACACACGUGGUCAAGGAGAGUAUCCUAAGGUGAGCGAGUUAACUGUCGUUAAGGAACUCUGCAAAAUUACUUCGUAAGUUCGCAAGAAGAAGUGCCUGUGAAAGCAGGUCGCAGUGAAGAGGCCCAAGUAACUGUUUAUCAAAAACAUAGCUCUAUGCUAAGCCGUAAGGCGAUGUAUAUGGGGUGAUGCCUGCCCAGUGCAGGAAGGUUAAAAGGAGAGGUUAGCGCAAGCGAAGCUUUGAAUUGAAGCCCCUGUGAACGGCGGCCGUAACUAUAACGGUCCUAAGGUAGCGAAAUUCCUUGUCGGGUAAGUUCCGACGCGCAUGAAUGGUAUAAUAAUUUGGGCGCUGUCUCGACGGCAGACUCGGUGAAAUCUUAAUACCUGUGAAGAUGCAGGUUACCCGCGACUAGACGGAGAGACCCCAUGGAGCUUUACUGUAAUUUAAUAUUGAAUGCUUGAAGUUCAUAUGUAGGAUAGGUUGGAGACUUUGAAGCCAGUGCGCUAGCAUUGGUGGAGUCAACGGUGAAAUACAACUUUUGGAUUUCAAUCAUUCUAACUGACAAAUUUACUCUUUGCAGGACAGUGUUAGACGGGCAGUUUGACUGGGGCGGUCGCC